rnacentral:snRNA from 1 species
AUACUCUGGUUUCUCUUCAAAACGAACAAAUCUUUCGCCUUUUACUAAAGAUUUCUGUGGAGAGGAACAGUUAUGAGUUGGUAACCAAAUUUUUUGAGGUCUUGCUUAGGCAAGGCU